CGAGUGGCGGACGGGUGAGUAAUGUCUGGGAAACUGCCUGAUGGAGGGGGAGUAACUACUGGAAACGGUAGCUAAUACCGCAUAACGUCGCAAGACCAAAGAGGGGGGACCUUCGGGCCUCUUGCCAUCGGAUGUGCCCAGAUGGGAUUAGCUAGUAGGUGGGGUAACGGCUCACCUAGGCGACGAUCCCUAGCUGGUCUGAGAGGAUGACCAGCCACACUGGAACUGAGACACGGUCCAGACUCCUACGGGAGGCAGCAUG
rnacentral:rRNA from 1 species